CCUACGGGAGGCAGCAGUGAGGAAUAUUGGUCAAUGGCCGAGAGGCUGAACCAGCCAAGUCGCGUGAGGGAAGACUGCCCUACGGGUUGUAAACCUCUUUUGUCGGGGAGCAAAGCGCAUCACGUGUGCCUCAUUGAGAGUACCCGAAGAAAAAGCAUCGGCUAACUCCGUGCCAGCAGCCGCGGUAAUACGGAGGAUCCGAGCGUUAUCCGGAUUUAUUGGGUUUAAAGGGUGCGCAGGCGGAGGUUCAAGUCAGUGGUCAAAUUUGGGGGCUCAACCCCGUAAUUGCCGUUGAUACGGCAUGCCUUGAGUGCGCGAGAAGUAUGCGGAAUGCGUGGUGUAGCGGUGAAAUGCAUAGAUAUCACGCAGAACUCCGAUUGCGAAGGCAGCAUACCGGCGCGCAACUGACGCUCAUGCACGAAAGCGUGGGUAUCGAACAGGAUUAGAUACCCGUGUAGUC
rnacentral:rRNA from 1 species